CCUACGGGUGGCAGCAGUGGGGAAUAUUGCACAAUGGGGGAAACCCUGAUGCAGCAACGCCGCGUGAAGGAAGACGGUUUUCGGAUUGUAAACUUCUGUUCUUAGUGAAGAAUAAUGACGGUAGCUAAGGAGCAAGCCACGGCUAACUACGUGCCAGCAGCCGCGGUAAUACGGAGGUGGCAAGCGUUGACCGGAAUUACUGGGCGUAAGGGGAGCGCAGGCGGGAAGCCAAGUCCGCUGUGAAAACUACGGGCUUAACUUGGGGACUGCAGUUGAAACUGGUUUUCUUGAGUGAAGUAGAGGUGGGCAGAAUUCCAGGUGUAGCGGUGAAAUGCGUAGAGAUUCGGAGGAACACCGGUGGCGAAGGCGGCCAACUGGGCUAAAACUGACGCUGAGGUUCGAAAGUGUGGGGAGCAAACAGGAUUAGAUACCCUUGUAGUC
rnacentral:rRNA from 1 species